rnacentral:tRNA from 1 species
AGCCCUGUGGUGUUACUAGACAUGCCGAAUUGCAAAUUCGGAGAAGCAGUAUUACCCCUGCCGGGGCUU